CUUAUCAGGUAUUUGGAGGUGCUGCCAGCCUCUAAAAAUAAUGAAACAGUACUGAAAACUGUGUAUUUGACCUCUUGGAGAAUCACUCGUCUCGUGUACCGACACUGCCUGCCUCCAGAAAUUUGAAAAUGGUACAAAAUCUGAGUGUGUGACCUGUUGAAGAUCACUCACUGGCACCCCCACAUUGAAGAGUGCAAAGAUAAUGAGCUUAGACCCAGCAGCUGCCCUGACACCACGGGCCCCUUAGGAAGUCCUGCUUGGCCCUCACUUGUUAUCCAGACUCUGGACCGAAGGCUGCAGCUGUCUGUGAACACAGGUUUCCUCUGCCCAGGUUCCUGCUAAUGCUGAAGGAAAUAGCACAGGGCCUAUUUUCACUACAAAGGGACUCCGAGUCCAUGAAGAUGGAUGGAAACUUACACAAAAGUCACGUCCGUGACCCCAGGUCUUCCCUGGGAGGAGCUAGAGGCGGGUGGAGAAUCUCAGUUCGUACCACCACAGAUGUUAGUUCCCUUCACUCCCCUUUCACAUGUAUUAUGUGAAAUCCUUAAAGCACAUGCUUGGUCUGGGAUCCAGACACAGUAAUCCAACUUCACUAAUCAAAGAUACUGGAAAUUGUUUUGGAGGCUGGUGCCACGAAGAAGGGGUGUCACCAAAUCCACUUUGGUGAUGGCGGUCCAAAUAGAUGCAGUUUCUGUAGCAACGUGAGAGAUGACCUGCGGGCCCUGCCUGGGUGAAUGAGGAGAAGUGUCAUGGACAAAGGUCCCUCCAGAUAUCAAGAUCAAACACGCCUUUUAUCUGCUACCUUUCAAGCUCCCCAAUUGUGGAGACAAGAAGACAAUGGAUCACACCCACUGCUCUUCUCAUUUUGUGUGUUGAGGUCUAGGAGCCUGAAAGACAGGAUCUAGAGAUGGAAAGGCUGGGCUCAAAGAAAGAAAAUGUGUUAUACACCUGUUUUUGGACUCCUAAGAAUAACAGAAGAGAAUAUGGAGGUAUUGGGGCUUCACAGAUCCUACUUUCAGAAAGAGUAGGACAAAAUUAGAUUUCCGACUCACACUCUGCUUGUUAAGUUUAUAUGUCAACUUGGCUCAGCCGAGUUGGUCAACCACCAAUCUAGAUGUCUCUGUGAAGGUGUUUCUUUUUAGAUGAGAUUAAUAUUUAAAUGAAUAGACUUGGAGGAAAGCAGAUUACCUUCUGUAGCAUGGGUAAACCUCAUCCAAUCAGAUGGCAGCCUUAAGAGAAAAAAAGACUGAGGGCCCCUGAGAAAGAGAGAAUUCAGCCAGUAGACAGCCUAGGGACACAGCUAAAAGGUCAACUUUUGGUGGGGUUUGCAAGUGCCAGCGUGGUCUGCAGACUUUGGACUUACCAACUCCCACGCUCACAUGAGCUGCUUCCUUAAGUCAGAGCCUCUCUCUCUCUCUCUCUCUCUCACACACACACACACACUCACACACACACACUCAUACACAUACAUAUCUCCUACUGGUUCUAUUUCUCUGGAGAACACGAAUACACACAGCAUGUACUGUAAUAACUUCAGAUGGAUUAAAGAUUUAAAUGUAAACAAAAGAAUAAAAGUACCAGAAGGAAAUAUUGCUUAAAUAUUUUGGUAGGCCUGGGCAGGAGUGAAGCCAUGAAGAGAAAGACGGGCGGAUAUGACUAGGAAGGCUAUAUCUUCUAAAUGCCCAGUGCCCUAGAAGCAUUUAGGAUGGCAAAUGACAAACUGGGGAAAUUAGCAAUAUAUGCAUCAGACUGAAAGUUAAUAUAUUUAGUACUGUUACAAAUAAGCUGAAAAUCCUAAUAGAAAAAUGGGCAAGAACAAGUAAGUCACAAAAGAGGAACAAGUGACAAACACAUGGAAUCAUGCUCAAUAUCAAAGAAAUGCAAAAACAAAUAAAACGUAAUUUUUUGCCAAUCGGGUCAUCAAACACUUAAGAGGAUGCUCAUGGUCAGUAUUAACAGUGAUACAGCAAAGGAGGCCACUGUUAGUGGGGGAUAAAUUAGCAAACCUUGUCUUAGACUUCCCUACAUUUUCAUGUUUAACUCUGUGCAGGUCACAGCUGAUCUGGGAGAUACAAACUCUUUUCUUAAAUAUUGUUACAUAUAUAGGGUGCAUAGGUUCAAGGUCAUGACUAGCUGUGUGUUUGUACAUGACUAAUGUUAAACCAUGACAUUUAAGCCAUCAGUUUGGUUAUAGUGUGUGUUUUGUAAGGGUGUGUAAUAUUAGAUAGUAAAUUGUAUCAAAAUAUUUUGCAAGUGCUAUGAAGUGUUUAUGCCUUGAGCACAGCGGUAUUGUUUGUGAUGAUUGUUACAAAGCUUUGCAACGCCAACUAUUGAAGAUUCUGAUUAAUUAAUAUAAAAGACACUUUUUGGUUGCAUUUUUAGCAAUACCCAUGUUUCUGUUAUUUGAAAGGAAAAUUUUUUAUUCUUUACAUUUUUAUAUUUCUUUAAUAAUUUCUGAAUUAUAACUAAAAUGAAGAAAAAUCAUGUAUUUUAUUAUAUAAGUAUAAUAAAUGCAAAUUUCAGGUGUUUUUAAUUUUUUUCUGCAUUUUAGCACAUACUAGUGAUGAAUGUAUCUCUUGGAUACAUGCAACCUAUGCUGUUAUGUUUUUGAUGUGCCCUCCGCAGGGUUAAGAUUACCACCAGACAGAUGCACAGACCUUUAUGGAAGUGCGCCAGCCCCGGCAAUAUUUAUAACAGCACACAACUGGAAACAACUUCGAUGCCCAUCAGUAUGGCGGUAGUUGGAUAAAUUGUGGUAAAUCCAUAUAAAUUAAUUAUGUUUAUUUACCUAAAUAGAUGCCAAUUAUAUAUUAAAUAAAAGGGGCAGUUACAAAAAUAUGCACAGUGUAAUUCCAGUUAUGAAAAUACAUAUACUAUAUGUGGGUUAGUCAUCAUUCUUGAGUAGAAGAAAGCUUGGAGAGGAAUACAUGGACAUGCUAAUAGUGGGUGGAGGGAUUGUGGCUGAUGUACAUUUCCAUCUGAGUGUGGG